AGAGUUUGAUCAUGGCUCAGAACGAACGUUAGCGGCACGCCUAACACAUGCAAGUCGAGCGCAAAGCCUUCGGGCUGAGAGCGGCGCACGGGUGAGUAACACGUAGAUAACCUACCCUCGAGUGGUGGAUAACGUUCCGAAAGGGACGCUAAUACAGCAUAACACCUCGGCUCUUCGGAGUUUCGGUCAAAGGGGGCUUCGGCUCCCGCUUGAGGAUGGGUCUGCGGCCCAUCAGCUAGUUGGUAGUGUAAAAGACUACCAAGGCAAAGACGGGUAGCUGGUCUGAGAGGAUGAACAGCCACACUGGAACUGAGACACGGUCCAGACUCCUACGGGAGGCAGCAGUGGGGAAUCUUGCGCAAUGGGCGAAAGCCUGACGCAGCGAUGCCGCGUGAGCGAUGAAGGCCUUCGGGUUGUAAAGCUCUGUGGAUGGGGACGAAGAAGUAUGGGUUAAUACCCCAUGCGGUGACGGUACCCAUUUAGCAAGCACCGGCUAACUCUGUGCCAGCAGCCGCGGUAAGACAGAGGGUGCAAACGUUGUUCGGAAUUACUGGGCGUAAAGCGCGUGUAGGCGGCUUUGCAAGUCGGAUGUGAAAUCCCGCGGCUCAACCGUGGAAGUGCACCCGAAACUGCAUCGCUAGAGUAUCGGAGAGGAAAGUGGAAUGCUUGGUAGAGGUGAAAUUCGUAGAUAUCAAGCGGAACACCGGUGGCGAAGGCGGCUUUCUGGACGAUAACUGACGCUGAGACGCGAAAGCGUGGGUAGCAAACAGGAUUAGAUACCCUAGUAGUCC
rnacentral:rRNA from 1 species